rnacentral:lncRNA from 1 species
GGGGGACUGGCACGAGUAAUAAUGAAGGGUGUUACUUCAAGGGAGUGCCAACCUCUGACAUGAGUCACAAAGCCAUGAGGCUGGUUGGGGUGGCGUCUGCAAAGAUAAUGGCUGACUUUGUGACCUUGAGCAAGUCACUUGACCUCCAGGGCCCCAUGUUCUCUCAUCUGUAAAACAAGAGGGUUAAACAAAGUCACUGUGAUGUCCUUCCAUCUCUGUGGUUUCAUGAUUGCUGCGAAUCAUAGCAGAUCAAGGAAAAUCUGAGAACCAGGGGAAGAAAGUAUCAAAGACACACAAAGUCAAUAGUAGAAAGUGCCAAGCUCUGAACCUAGAUAGUGAGAUUCCCUGCCCAGGGCUCUACCCGUCUCAUUAUCGGAAUGAUAAUCUGCAUUAUGACAGUCCCCAUGCCUCUAAAAGGUAAAAUCCCCCCAUAGCCAAGUUUUAUGUUCUCAUGGCCAGAUCUUUCGCUAUCAGUCUGCUCAUGCAUUGCCCAUUCCAGACAGCGUACGUUUUGCUAAAAUGUGGAUCAUCGAUAUGAUGGAAUGCUAUAGGCCACGAUGAGCUAAACGUGGGAGCCCUGGAGACUGGAGCUGCCCCACAGCCAACAUCUGGCCUCUGAGCACUCUGAACUGUGGGAAGGACAGAAGCAGUAGACACAGGGACCCCACCUCAGUCAUCACCACCCUUGGUGUUUUCUCAACUAAAACCCCCAAACCUGGCAUCAGACCGCUCCAUCCCAGUCCCUUGGUCACUGAAAAGCUUCUGGACCAGAGAGGCUCAGACCAAGGGGCUGAGUGUUUAUAACAGGAAAUGAAUCCUGGUUUGGAAGAAGCGGGCGGAGACUCCAAGAGCCAUCUGGAGGAGGUCAUGCUUCCAGCGCUUCCUGUGGAAGACCAGACAGGAAUCAAAAUGGUGUAGCAUUAGCACAAGAAUGGACCCAUCAAUGGGAUUAGGCAGCUCAGAAACAGACCUUACUAUGUAUUUAAGGACUUAAUAAAUGAUAAUAGCCGCCGUAAACCACUGGAGAAGGUGCAAGUGAAGCAAACACUGGGACUGUGGGAAAUCGUCUAUUUGAAAAGGAAUCAGUUUUGAUCCUCACCAUACAGUGCACACUAAAAUUUCACUUAGAUUAAAGAGUUAAAUGUGCAAAAACAAAGAAAAGAGGGGAGGGGGAAAAACAACCCAGAACAUGUCAUUUUCCCCGAAUGGCAAGACUGAAUAGUACAAAGAUGCAAAUGGUUCAUGAAUUAAGAUAAUGUUGAAUCUGAUCCCUUUCAAGUCCCAAAUGGGAUUUUUUUUCUGUUUUCUUUUUCUUUUUUUCUGGAGCUAGACAGCAUGGUUCUAAAAUUCAUCUGGAAAAUUAACAGGAAUGGCCAAUUUUUUUAGAAAACAGAGUCAUUGUAGGAGAUUUGUUCUACCGGAUAAUAAAAUGCUACAUUUCCU